rnacentral:RNase_P_RNA from 1 species
CCAUAGGGCAAGGUGCCAGGUAACGCCUGGGGGGUGUCACAGCCCACGACCAGUGCAACAGAGAGCAAACCGCCGAUGGCCCGCGCAAGCGGGAUCAGGUAAGGGUGAAAGGGUGCGGUAAGAGCGCACCGCGCGGCUGGUAACAGUCCGCGGCACGGUAAACUCCACCCGGAGCAAGGCCAAAUAGGGGUUCAUAAGGUACGGCCCGUACUGAACCCGGGUAGGCUGCUUGAGCCAGUGAGCGAUUGCUGGCCUAGAUGAAUGACUGUCCACGACAGAACCCGGCUUAUCGGUCAGUUUCACCU